rnacentral:RNase_P_RNA from 1 species
UGAGUUGAGUAGAUGGUCGCGUCCUGAUUGUAGUUUUACUUUCGGGAUGAGGAAAGUCCGGACUCCGUAGGGCAGGAUGCUGGGUAACCCCCAGGAGCGGCGACGCUAUGGAAAGUGCAACAGAAAGUAGACUACAACAAUUUUAACUAUGGGCCCUCUUGCUCAUUUUUUGACGUUGUCAAAAAAUGGGUUGUGUUAAAAUCAAGUGAUAUGUUCCGCAGAUAGUGGGACUAUUGAUUUUAAAACAGAUCGCCUUCGGACAACGGACGAAGGCGAAGAAGUUAGCACAUGGUUAAAAGAAUGUUGUACAGGUGAAACGGUGUGGUAAAAGCGCACCAGUCCAUAAGGUGACUUAUGGAGCUAUGUAAACCCCGUCUGGAGCAAGGUAAAUCGAGGACAUGUAGAGGUUGCCCGCCUCGUUCUCAGGUAACCGCUUGAGGUGGAUGGUAACAUCCAUCCCAGAUGAAUGAUCAUCGCAUACAGAAUCCGGCUUAUUCUCAACUCAAGUU